CUUCGGGGUUCCUGGGUGUCACGCAGAUCUCGGUGGAACCUCCAAAUGAAAGAACUCAGUGGGGAAACCCCCACUCAGCUCCCGAUUCGGCGUGCACCCAAGAAUCACGAAUAGAACA
rnacentral:pre_miRNA from 7 species